rnacentral:lncRNA from 1 species
CUCACACCUAUAAUCCCAGCACUUUGGGAGGUUGAGGUGGGCAGAUCACGUGAGGCCAGGAGUUCAAGACCAGCCUGGCCAACACAGUGAAACCCCAUCUCUACUAAAAAUACAAAAAAAUUUAUCUGGGUGUAGUGGCAAAUACCUGUAAUUCCAGCUACUAGGGAGGCUGAGGCACGACAAUUGCUUGAACCUGGGAGGCGGAGGUUACAGUGAGCUGACAUUGCAUAACUGCACUCCAGCCUGGGUGAUGGAGUGAGACUCUGUCUCGAACAAACAAACAAACAAACAAAAAUUACAACAUGUUUAGUUAGUUAAAGAUCCUAAUUGGGGCUGGACGCAGUAGUUCACGCCUGUAAUCCCAGCACUUUGGGAGGCU